rnacentral:rRNA from 1 species
GACGUAGGGCGCGAGCGUUGUCCGGAUUUAUUGGGCGUAAAGAGCUCGUAGGCGGCUUGUCGCGUCGACUGUGAAAGCCCGCGGCUCAACCGCGGGUCUGCAGUCGAUACGGGCAGGCUAGAGUUCGGUAGGGGAGACUGGAAUUCCUGGUGUAGCGGCGAAAUGCGCAGAUAUUAGGAAGAACACCAGUGGCGAAGGCGGCCCACUGGAUCGGUACUGACGCUGAGGUGCGAAAGCGUGGGGAGCAAACAGG